GCACUCACUUCAGCAACAUACAUUCUAAAACUGGAACAAUACAGAGAAGAUUAGCGUGGCCCCCACAUAAGGAUGACACACAAAUUCAUGAAGCAUUCCCUAUUUUU
ensembl:snRNA U6 U6 spliceosomal RNA